GUGCUCAAAUAGAGUAGAAAAGUGCUAUAUAAGAACCAGUCCAUUCACCAUAAAAAUGGCUUUUCCCUCCCAAACCGCUGCUGAUUGAUAUAUUUCCAUCCAGCUUUGACAAACAAAACCUCUGUGGCUUCAGGAGUUCAUUGUUUGGCUCGAAAUAAAAAAAGUUUCUGCCAUAAAAUCUUAAAGGCAAAACCUCAGUGUGUCCAUACUUGAUUUGUCUACAGUCAGUUCAGUAAAGGUUAUUCAAACAUCACAGCAGUGUGUUCAGUGUUAACAGAAAAUGGGAAGAGAACAACCACGUUGCUCUACUUCUGCCUUUCCUGCUGAAUUUCUGAAGCUGUUGCACAUUAUAUUGUUUUAUAAAUAUGUCGACAUUUUUACAAGAAAGUUUUGUUGUUUUCUAAAAAUAGAUACAGAUCAAACAGCGUAUUUUGUUGGUAGUGUUAAAAGGGCUCUCAGGUCCGUGUGAACACAGUGAUCCAGUGAGCAGGGAACAGCAGUGUAUUGAGAGCACGUUGAUGCUGGUGCAGUGGAUUUGGAGCACAUUAAGCAGGACAUGAUGUCAGCGUGGUGCCUGGUGCUCGCUGUCUCCCGCUCUGAGCCUUGACGUUAAAGCUGAUUAUCCACAGAGACAGGCAGCAGAGCAGCGCCGCCUCCAUGUGUGAACAGCAACAUAAGCUGAUCAGAGGUGCCGUCUCGCUGACCGGACUCUACCUGGUGUACGGAUAUGGUGCCUCCCUCCUCUGCAACCUGAUUGGUUUUGUUUAUCCAGCUUAUUAUUCAGUCAAAGCCAUCGAAAGCCCGUGCAAAGAAGAUGACACAAAAUGGUUGACCUACUGGGUGGUGUACGGUGUCUUCAGUCUGGGCGAGUUCUUCUCUGAUAUUUUCCUCUACUGGUUCCCAUUUUACUACGCUUUUAAGUGUCUCUUCUUACUAUGGUGCAUGGCACCAAUGUCCUGGAACGGCUCACAGAUUAUCUACAACAAAGUGGUUCGGCCUGUCUUCCUUCGCCAUGAGGCCACAGUGGACAACAUGGUCAGCGACCUCGGUGGGAAGGCCAUGAGUGCUGCCGAGAACCUCACCAGAGAAGUCCUGACCACUCUGGUGAAGAAUAAAGGCAUGAUCAUACCAUCGCCACCUGUUGCUCAGUCUGAAGCUAAAAGUUUACCAAGUACAUCAGGAGAAACAUCCACAGCUAAAGUUGGUCCAUCAGAGAUGAACGAAGAAAGAAGAGUAUGUAAAAUACACGUUUUCACCCUUUACUCAGUCUGUUCACCUUGAAUUAUAUCAGUAAAAGCAGCUCAGGAAACUUGCAGUCUGCUGGUUUAUGUCCUCUCUACAAGCUGCUGAGUGAUGUGUUCUCACUCAGAAAGCCUUGUAGCAUCUCUCUUUACUGUCAGUAACCCAGCUGGGAAAACUGAUCAGCAGUCCCUUCAAUAUAGAAUCCCACUAACGCUGUUUAUGUAGUACUUGGAGUUCAAGCAUUGUUUAGAUUUGUCCACAUAACUUACAGAAAUCCACGGUUAUUAAUGACACCCGUGGCUGUUAAGUGGACUCCAGUCAUGAUUUUGUUGCUUGUGUUUGGCUAAAGUGGACUCACACUUGAUGCUGGAACAGACCUGUCCUUCAUCUACAUCAAGUGUUUAUGUGUUCAUAUAAGAGGUGAGGAAUAAACUCUGACCUGUUGCUAAUACAGCUAUCUUGUUACCUGUUCCAGCCUUUCCUGGGUUAACCAGUUUGGUAAGUCAGCUGGUUAAGUGCUGUACAGACAGUGAAUGUGGUGUGAAGCAUGUAGACCAGCAGUGCUUUUAAUGGUCUGAAGCUAAAACAGACAGGAUACUUUAUCCUAGGUGUGAAGACCUGAACUGACCUUCUAAUAUUCCCUCCUCAACUUUACCUGCAGCUCUUAGUGGUCCAGAAGAAACAGAAGCACUAGAAAAUGAUCUGCUUAGUAGUUUUCAACAUUGGGUCAGAGUAAAGAUCAGGACCAGAGGGUGAACUAAAGGCCCAGUAUGAGAUAAAUAUGUUUAGAAGAUCUAAAUGAUUAUUAUUAUUAUUAUUAUUAUUAUUUUAUCUGAAAGUGAGUAAGUCCAGAAUCACAGUCUUACUGCAGCUCUCCUCCCACACUACCUACACCAAAGCAGAACAUGUGGGUUGGAUGUGUAUCAACAUACCAUGGUGGCAGAAACUUUCCGCACACUCAUCAUUGGCAUCGUCUGCAUGAAUCUCAUGGUAUUUUGGGCUUUUCAAGAUUUCUUUGAAUUGUUCCUCUUCCCACGGUGGAAUAACUGUACACCUUGCAUGUUUAAAAAAAAAAAAACAAGAACUGGAUGCACUUUGAACUGAUUUUGGAUUUUCUCUAGUCCACACAGUCACAUACCCCCACUAAUGUUUGGUUAAAUGUCCAUUAUUGCACCUGGACCAGACACUUCUGGUAUCCAUCAGCAAGCUUUGAGCAGAUAUUUAACCACUCUUCUUGGCAGAAUUGUUAGAGUUUAUUUGUGUUUCAGUUGUGUUCAUGUUUGUAUUCUUCUGACCAUCUGUGGAUUAGUGAAAAACAUUAAACGUCCCAAACCAAGUACCCAUGACAUUCAUCCCAUGAUGAGUGUGCGUAAACUUCUGACCACAACUGUACAUCCAGAGAUUAAUUUAAGUAUUCAAAUUAAUCCAUGGGGUUGUUUUAGGAACCCUCCCCCCCCCAAAUAAUUCACUUUUCACUUCCCAUUUUAAUGUUUUUCGUUUCUAACCUUUGGUUGUGUCUGUUAUAUGUCUGCUCAUCAGGAUGAACUCAGUGUAGACUGAUGUUCUUUAGAUAGCAGCAGAGGAAGAGGAGGAGCCUUGGUGAGGAAGAAAAGGAGGGAAAGAGGGUUUUUCCUCAUCAUCCUGACAGAUUUCAACAGGAUUGUUACCUCUGUCAAAGAGACUGAUUUCCUUUUUAAAAAAAUCAUGUUGUAGUUGUGCAGCAGGACAUUGUGAAAAGAUCUUUUUACUUCUUUGUUUCAAGAUUUCUGGGAACAAUUCUUUUCUUCUUUUCUUCUUCUUUUUUUAAGUUAUUAAAUCUUUUCUAUGUAAACCUCCUGAAUCUGGAUUAUAAAUAACUCACAGAAGCUGUAUUGUUGCCCUGGAUUUUACUUGUUUCUACUGUCCUGAUUCAGAUAGAAGACCCAGAAUCUAAAAGUAAAUCAAGCUCACAUCCACACUUCAUAAGAAUAAGUCAAAAGUUCACCUUACAUUUAAAGAUUCUUUAUGAAAUAAAAUUAACUCAUUCACUGCAAUUGACGUCUAUAGCCGUCAAU